AUUGAACGCUGGCGGCAUGCUUUACACAUGCAAGUCGAACGGUAACAGGCCGCAAGGUGCUGACGAGUGGCGAACGGGUGAGUAAUGCAUCGGAACGUGCCAAGUCGUGGGGGAUAACGCAGCGAAAGCUGCGCUAAUACCGCAUACGAUCUCUGGAUGAAAGCGGGGGACCGAAAGGCCUCGCGCGAUUGGAGCGGCCGAUGUCAGAUUAGGUAGUUGGUGGGGUAAAGGCCCACCAAGCCAACGAUCUGUAGCUGGUCUGAGAGGACGACCAGCCACACUGGGACUGAGACACGGCCAAGACUCCUACGGGAGGCAGCAGUGGGGAAUUUUGGACAAUGGGCGCAAGCCUGAUCCAGCAAUGCCGCGUGCAGGAAGAAGGCCUUCGGGUUGUAAACUGCUUUUGUACGGAACGAAACGGUCCGGGCUAAUACCCUGGGCUAAUGACGGUACCGUAAGAAUAAGCACCGGCUAACUACGUGCCAGCCGCCGCCGUAA
rnacentral:rRNA from 1 species